GACGAACGCUGGCGGCGUGCUUAACACAUGCAAGUCGAACGGAAAGGCCCUGCUGGUGUGGGGUGCUCGAGUGGCGAACGGGUGAGUAACACGAGAGUAACCUGCCCUUGACUUUGGGAUAACUUCAGGAAACUGGGGCUAAUACCGGCUAGGAGCUCCUGCUGCAUGGUGGGGGUGGGAAUGUUUCGGCGGUUGGGGAUGGACUCGCGGCUUAUCAGCUUGUUGGUGGGGUAGUGGCUUACCAAGGCUUUGACGGGUAGCCGGCCUGAGAGGGUGACCGGCCACAUUGGGACUGAGAUACGGCCCAGACUCCUACGGGAGGCAGCAGUGGGGAAUAUUGCACAAUGGGCGGAAGCCUGAUGCAGCAACGCCGCGUGCGGGAUGACGGCCUUCGGGUUGUAAACCGCUUUCGCCUGUGACGAAGCGUGAGUGACGGUAAUGAGUAAAGAAGCACCGGCUAACUACGUG
rnacentral:rRNA from 1 species